UGCCACAACAUUUUCUGAGUUACUCUUACAUCCUUAACUGGUAAUCUUUAUUUGUUUAUUUAAAUCUUGCCAAGUGCACCUCAAAACCCCCAACACAACCUGCAAACACCCUAAGCUUGGCACAACCCACAAAUAGAUUGAGCAAUGUCACGGGCCAGCCCAGCCGUUGGACAUGUCUAAGGCGUUUAAGACCAAGGCAUUUGCUUUCGGACAUGUUGAAGUUAUGACGUAAAACCAUUCUGAUUUCAUAUUUUUCCCUCGUUCAAGAAAUGGACGUUGGAAAUUAAGUGCAUUUCAUAGUAAUUUUUCAGAGGAAGAUUAAUUUAAUCAAAGCAUAGUGCCAUGCUCCCGUUGUCAAGGCGUAUGCAAUUGGAAGUCUAAGCAAACGGUUGGCCUGUGAAUUAAUUUAAAAAAUGACGGUUCAUUUAUUAGCUACUUGCCUCUAUUACCGUGCUUUAUUUUCUUGUUUUUGUUUUCGGUUUUUGGUGCCAGGUCGCUCAUGGCUCCCUUGUUGCCAUUUAGAAUUUAGAAGUAAAGAGUUCAAUGCUGUGGCAGAUUGACAGAUUGCUGUUCCCAAGAAGCUUCAGGCAAACAAAGGUGCUCUCUGAAGCUGGGUGUGUCCUGUGCAAACGGGAAUCAGAAAGAAUAAUCCAGUGAACAAUGAUGACCAUGAAACCGUACUUGGCAAACAACCAGCAACUGGCAUUGAAAUGACACCGUUGACAGUCAGAGAAAUGAUGAUGAAGCAUAAGACUUCUCGCUCUACCAGUGUUCAGAGGGGCAUUGGAAUGAGGUUCUGGUCAAUUCAAAUUGCUGGCUUUUCUUACACUCCCUUGGUAGGUGGAGGUGAAGACAAUCUUGAAGUCUGAACAGAACUACACUCCUGAUGGUUCAACUUCAAAUCAACUAUAACCUGCCCAAGCCUUGGGUUAAGUACUAAUUUUAAGAUGAAAAAGUAAAACUCGUAAGUUCAAAGGCGUUCAACGUUUAGCUGUAACAUAACUGGAGGCAUUGACAAGCACCACCAAUAGUUAGUCAAUGGAAAUUGAUGGUAACAAUCAACUGACACUUCAAAAGAAAGUAUGAUCAGGAAAAUUCAAUACAUUUUUGGACAACUAUGACAUCAUUAGUCAGUUGCACCCAACUCUUUCAUAAAUCAAGUUCCCUCCAAAAUCCAAGUCCCUCUGCAUCAUCCAAAAUUGGCCAGCCAUGGCAUAACAUGAACCGUGAGCAUGGCGGGCCGCACCAGAUUCGGCCUGACACGAUCUCAUAUGACUUGCUGCAAUAUCUAUAUAGGAGAGAGCACACUUCAUAACAUCACUUUUAAUUAGAAUGCCCAAUAACAUUACUUUUAAUAAGAAGGUCAAAUAUACAUAUUGUUAGAAUUAUGCCUUAAAUCUUGUUCCACAUUGAUUGUUUAAAGAAAGUUGUUUCUAGAUGAGGUAAUCUCAAAUAAUGAGAGACAUUGAUAGAAUAGUAGUAGACUAUUACAAUGUGUAAUUAGGCUUUCUAAGAUUCAAUAAUUAAAAGGAGUUUUAUGGUUU